rnacentral:rRNA from 1 species
GAAGUGGAGAAGGGUUUCUCGAGAACGGCACUCGCUCGAGAGUUAGUCGAUCCUAAGCUGCCGGCGGCAGCCACGAAACGGUCGAUCGGGCGCGAGCCCGGCAGCCACGACCGGGCAGCGAAAGGGAAUUGGGAACCUCCUUCCCAAACCCGGAACCGGAACGAGGGCGGCGACGCGAACGAAACGGCCGCGGAGACGGCGGCCGCGGCCCCGGAGAGAGUUCUCUUUUCUGUGCGACUGGACGUCGGCCCCGGAAUCGCGUCGAGCGGAGGGGGGGUCGGAGUUCAGGAAUAGCGCCCCGGCCUUUCGGGGUGUCCGGGCGGCCGCGGUCGUCCCAUGAAAAUCCGCGGAUGAACGAGUAGGCGACGGUCCGGGUCGUACCGAACGACCGCAUCGGGUCUCCAAGGUUGAAAGCCUCUGGCUAACGGG